AGUGAACGCUGGCGGUAGGCCUAACACAUGCAAGUCGAACGGCAGCACAGUAAGAGCUUGCUCUUACGGGUGGCGAGUGGCGGACGGGUGAGGAAUACAUCGGAAUCUACUUUUUCGUGGGGGAUAACGUAGGGAAACUUACGCUAAUACCGCAUACGACCUACGGGUGAAAGCAGGGGAUCUUCGGACCUUUCGCGAUUGAAUGAGCCGAUGUCGGAUUAGCUAGUUGGCGGGGUAAAGGCCCACCAAGGCGACGAUCCGUAGCUGGUCUGAGAGGAUGAUCAGCCACACUGGAACUGAGACACGGACCAGACUCCUACGGGAGGCAGCAGUGGGGAAUAUUGGACAAUGGGCGCAAGCCUGAUCCAGCCAUACCGCGUGGGUGAAGAAGGCCUUCGGGUUGUAAAGCCCUUUUGUUGGGAAAGAAAAGCAGCAGGUUAAUACCCCGCUGUUAUGACGGUACCCAAAGAAUAAGCAUCGGCUAACUUCGUG
rnacentral:rRNA from 1 species